GGGCUGUUAGUGGUAGAGCAUCUGCUUUGCAUGCAGACGGUCCCAGGUUUAAUCUCUGGCAUCUCCA
rnacentral:tRNA from 1 species